rnacentral:rRNA from 1 species
AUUGAACGCUGGCGGCAGGCCUAACACAUGCAAGUCGAGCGUGCCGCGGACGGGAGUGAAAUGUAUGUGGACUCCCCGAUAGAGGGGGAUAACUUUUGGAAACGGUGGCUAAUACCCCAUACUAUCGGAUAACCCAUAUGGGAUUAGCUUGUAGUGGGGGUAAAGGCUCACCUAGGCGACGACCUCUAGCUGGUCUGAGCGGAGGAUCAGCCACACUGGGACUGAGAAACGGCCCAGACUCCUACGGAGGCAGCAGUGGGGAAUAUUGCACAAUGGGCGCAAGCCUGAUGCAGCCAUGCCGCGUGUAUGAAGAAGGCCUUAGGGUUGUAAAGUACGUUCAGCGGGGAGGCGUUACCCGCAGAAGAAGCACCGGCUAACUCCGUGCCAGCAGCCGCGGUAAUAC